UACAGAGGGGGCAAGCGUUGUUCGGAAUUACUGGGCGUAAAGGGCGCGUAGGCGGCCUUCUAAGUCGAACGUGAAAUCCCGAGGCUUAACCUCGGAACUGCCUUCGAUACUGCGGGUCUCGAGUCCGGGAGAGGUGAGUGGAAUUCCUAGUGUAGAGGUGAAAUUCGUAGAUAUUAGGAAGAACACCAGUGGCGAAGGCGGCUCACUGGCCCGGUACUGACGCUGAGGCGCGAAAGCGUGGGGAGCAAACAGG
rnacentral:rRNA from 1 species